GAAUGUAGCGACUUGUUCGAGGCCAA
rnacentral:snRNA from 1 species